GCCUGCCUAGUACAGUGGUUAGUAUACUCCUUUGGUAAGGGAGAGAGGCUAGUUCGAUUCUAGCGGUGGGCA
rnacentral:tRNA from 1 species